rnacentral:rRNA from 1 species
AACGAACGCUGGCGGCAGGCUUAACACAUGCAAGUCGAACGCAUCCUUCGGGGUGAGUGGCAGACGGGUGAGUAACGCGUGGGAACGUGCCCUUCAGUUCGGGAUAACCCAGGGAAACUUGGGCUAAUACCGGAUACGUGCGAGAGCAGAAAGAUUUAUCGCUGAAGGAUCGGCCCGCGUCUGAUUAGCUAGUUGGUGGGGUAAUGGCCCACCAAGGCGACGAUCAGUAGCUGGUCUGAGAGGAUGAUCAGCCACAUUGGGACUGAGACACGGCCCAAACUCCUACGGGAGGCAGCAGUGGGGAAUAUUGGACAAUGGGCGCAAGCCUGAUCCAGCCAUGCCGCGUGAGUGAUGAAGGCCUUAGGGUUGUAAAGCUCUUUCGUCCCGGACGAUAAUGACGGUACCGGAAGGAGAAGCCCCGGCUAACUUCGUGCCAGCAGCCGCCGUAACAC